AACGAACGCUGGCGGCAGGCCUAACACAUGCAAGUCGAGCGCCCCGCAAGGGGAGCGGCGGACGGGUGAGUAACGCGUGGGAACGUGCCCCUUUCUACGGAAUAGCCUCGGGAAACUGAGAGUAAUACCGUAUAAGCCAUACGGGGGAAAGAUUUAUCGGGAAGGGAUCGGCCCGCGUUGGAUUAGGUAGUUGGUGGGGUAAUGGCCUACCAAGCCGACGAUCCAUAGCUGGUUUGAAAGGAUGAUCAGCCACACUGGGACUGAGACACGGCCCAGACUCCUACGGGAGGCAGCAGUGGGGAAUCUUAGACAAUGGGCGCAAGCCUGAUCUAGCCAUGCCGCGUGAGCGAUGAAGGCCUUAGGGUUGUAAAGCUCUUUCGUGGGGGAAGAUAAUGACUGUACCCCAAGAAGAAGCCCCGGCUAACUCCGUGCCAGCAGCCGCCGUAA
rnacentral:rRNA from 1 species